GUACGCUUGUCAGACGCUGGGUGACACUGUUGAGAGAAGACCUACAGCUGAACGCUCGAAGAGGUGUGUGUGAGAGAGGCUGCUCAUUGAAACCUGCCGAGUGACACAGAGGAACUCCUGAAUUGGAGCUGAGCGCCCAAGGUGGUGGGGUUGGUGACUGUAGGUGAUGGUUCCUCCUUUUUCCUGUGUGCUGUGUUUAACUGCAUCCCUGGGUUUGACCAUUCACCAGUGUGUGUGUGUGUGUGUGUGUGUGUGUGUGUGUGUGUGUGUGUGUGUGUGUGGAUGUGUGUACACGUGUGAUUCGUGGUGACUCUCUUCUGGAUACCUCUCCUACCUCCCCUCCCCUGGUAAGCCUCAGCCCUGAAUAAUUCCCCUGCCCCUCUUUUUAAUACCUGUGUGGUCAGUAUGUUUAAUAAUUGUUUUUUUACUAAAUUUUGCUAUAGUUAAAAUAAAGAAUUGAUGGUUGGAA